CAGCAGCCACGGUAGUACGUAGGUGGUAAGCGUUGUCCGGAAUUAUUGGGCGUAAAGGGCUCGCAGGCGGUUUCUUAAGUCUGAUGUGAAAGCCCCCGGCUCAACCGGGGAGGGUCAUUGGAAACUGGGAAACUUGAGUGCAGAAGAGGAGAGUGGAAUUCCACGUGUAGCGGUGAAAUGCGUAGAGAUGUGGAGGAACACCAGUGGCGAAGGCGACUCUCUGGUCUGUAACUGACGCUGAGGAGCGAAAGCGUGGGGAGCGAACAGGAUUAGAUACCCGUGUAGUCCCUGUCUCUUAUAC
rnacentral:rRNA from 1 species